AACGAACGCUGGCGGCAUGCCUAACACAUGCAAGUCGAACGAGACCUUCGGGUCUAGUGGCGCACGGGUGCGUAACGCGUGGGAACCUGCCCUUAGGUUCGGAAUAACUCCCCGAAAGGGGUGCUAAUACCGGAUAAUGUCUUCGGACCAAAGAUUUAUCGCCUUUGGAUGGGCCCGCGUUGGAUUAGCUAGUUGGUAGGGUAAAAGCCUACCAAGGCGACGAUCCAUAGCUGGUCUGAGAGGAUGAUCAGCCACACUGGGACUGAGACACGGCCCAGACUCCUACGGGAAGCAGCAGUGGGGAAUAUUGGAAAAUGGGCGAAAGCCUGAUCCAGCAAUGCCGCGUGAGUGAUGAAGGCCUUAGGGUUGUAAAGCUCUUUUAACCGGGAUGAUAAUGACAGUACCGGGAGAAUAAGCUCCGGCUAACUCCGUG
rnacentral:rRNA from 1 species